CAGCCAAUCCUCAGAAAGGACUAACAGCACUCUCAGCAGAGGGAGACUGAGUCCUUCAUUCCUGGGAGGUGUCUGGGAAGCACAUCGCAGUGUGCACCGCAGCAGGGCUUGAUCCACCACAUCACAUUCCGCGCUCGCUGCUGCCUGAACUCAUCAAAGUGGACCCAGUGAAAGCUGUGUUGAGGAGGACUAUUCUGGUGCUGAGGCUGGGUACAUUCAUGAGGCCAGGAACACGGGAUUGAAUUCCAAGCAGAGCACCAGGAUACCUGUAGCAGAAAUCCAGGCAAGAGCCAAGAAGAUGGGAACGGAAUAGCAAGCGCUGAAUUAAUUAAUUAAUUAAUUAAUUUUUUGAGAUGGAGUCUUGCUCUGUCGCCCAGGCUGGAGUGCAGUGGUGUAAUGUUGGCUCACUGCAACCUCCCCCUCCGGGGUUCAAGCGAUUCUCCUGCCUCAGCCUCCCAAGUAGCUAGGAUUACAGGUGCCCGCCACCAUGCUCGGCUAAUUUUUUGUAUUUUUAGUAGAGACGAGGUUUCGCCAUGUUGGCCAGGCUGGUCUGGAACUCCUGACCUCAAGUGAUUGGCCGGCCUUGGGCAAGUGCUGAAUUUAAACACGGCUCUCCUGAGGACUUCUAUUGGGUUCUGCCUAGUGGUAACCGCCGAGGCUUCGCUUACUCUGUAGAUCUCCCGGGAGCAGCAGGAAACAAGAAACCCUUAGCCUUUUCAAAGUAAUAGCCAUUCUCCUCACUGACCUGACAAAGACGGAUGUCAAGUGGGCCCUGCAGGAGUUUGACAGUUUGUCCAAACAACUGUUUUUAGUUGAGGCUAUAAAUUCUUAGGAAAGGGUUUGUCAGUGUGGCACAUUAAAUCAGUUGGCCAGUAUGCAUUACUCUGACCAUCUUCUUAGAAAGCAACGUCUUUGGGGAUUUUCAGAUGAGUGAAUAUUCAAUGCUCUGUCUUUUAGCAUUAUCAUCCACUUCCCCUGCCCCUCAUAGAAUUCUCUUUAGAGGAUUGGCUCCUGGGCCUCCAGGAGAGCGGGCAGUAGGGUAGGGUGGUGGGAGGAGAGGAAAGUCUUAAUCCCUUGCCAGGGAUUUACUUUGUUCUUCUCAGUCGGAGCCUCCCGUACAAUGCUGUUUUGAGCUUCACUUAGAAAUUGGCUUUAUUAGCUAGGAAAGGGGAAUUCUUUUCACAACAAUCGGAAAAUGUAAUCCCUUAGUCAGGCGGCUGGAGUCCUUUAAUUCACCUCUCCGGACCUUGGGCUGCUGGCUGCUCCUCUCUGCCGCCUGGCUGUCUCUCCCUUACCUCCCAGAGUUAGGGUAAUAGCUGACAUUUUUCUUCACUAGGCUUUCCUAAGGGAUUUCAUUCCAUUUGUGAGACACUUUAAUUCCUGAAGCUGCAAAGUUUGCUUUUUAUUACUAUAGCUCUACUUAUUCUGCAUAAUUUUAUUUAUUAUUUGUUUAUGUAUUUAUUUUUUGAGACAGAGUCUCGCUGUGUUGCCCAGGCUGGAGUGCAGUGGCGCCAUCUCAGCUCACUGCAACCUCUGCCUCCUGGGUUCAAGCAAUUCUCCUUCCUCAGUCUCCUGAGCAGCUGGGACUACAGGCACGUGCUACCACGCCCAGCUAAGUUUUGUAUUUUUAGUAGAGACGAGGUUUCAUCAUAUUGGCCAGGCUGGUCUCGAACUCCUGACCUUGUGAUCCACCUGCCUCAGCCUCCCAAAGUGCUGGGAUUACAGGCGUGAGCCACCACGCCUGGCUUAUUCUGCAUAAUUUUUAAGAGUUGUGAAUUGUUUUAAGAUCAAAUUUAAAAGUACAUUUUCUUUCUUAUCUUGUCAUUAACUGAUGUUGGGUAUGUGUGUGUGCUUGUGAUUUCCCUGGCUGGACCAGUGUAUAACUUCAAAGAGGGCUGGUGCCUUGCCUUUAGUCUGCUGGAUAGCACUCCUCCAGACCCUCCCUUUGCUGAGCAGCUCCGUGGACCUGUGCAAAUCUCUACCCAGCUUUGUUGGACAACAAAAUACCCUGGAGAAUAUCAAGCCCUUUAACAUACCCAGUUUGUGCUCCCAGACGUAAGAUCUCUUUGGCCAUGUAUGUGGGAUUCCCAUGAAGGAGAAGCUUCAUUUCCAGCAAGAAUCUGGCUUCCACCUAGACUUGGGAAACAGAUACUGAAAAGCAUAUUGCUGAUCAACUAGACAACCUACUUCCACUCUUGAUUGCCCCUGUAAUCCAUCUAGAACAGCCAGAGCAAUUUAUUUAUUAAAAAAUUUAAAAUUG
rnacentral:lncRNA from 1 species